UAGUAGGGGGCGGGGUUUCACCGCCAUCUCUGG
rnacentral:tRNA from 1 species